CUCUGACGUUAGCGGCGGACGGGUGAGUAACACGUGGAUAACCUACCUAUAAGACUGGGAUAACUUCGGGAAACCGGAGCUAAUACCGGAUAAUAUAUUGAACCGCAUGGUUCAAUAGUGAAAGACGGUUUUGCUGUCACUUAUAGAUGGAUCCGCGCCGCAUUAGCUAGUUGGUAAGGUAACGGCUUACCAAGGCAACGAUGCGUAGCCGACCUGAGAGGGUGAUCGGCCACACUGGAACUGAGACACGGUCCAGACUCCUACGGGAGGCAGCAGUAGGGAAUCUUCCGCAAUGGGCGAAAGCCUGACGGAGCAACGCCGCGUGAGUGAUGAAGGUCUUCGGAUCGUAAAACUCUGUUAUUAGGGAAGAACAAAUGUGUAAGUAACUAUGCACGUCUUGACGGUACCUAAUCAGAAAGCCACGGCUAACUACGUGCCAGCAGCCGCGGUAAUACGUAGGUGGCAAGCGUUAUCCGGAAUUAUUGGGCGUAAAGCGCGCGUAGGCGGUUUUUUAAGUCUGAUGUGAAAGCCCACGGCUCAACCGUGGAGGGUCAUUGGAAACUGGAAAACUUGAGUGCAGAAGAGGAAAGUGGAAUUCCAUGUGUAGCGGUGAAAUGCGCAGAGAUAUGGAGGAACACCAGUGGCGAAGGCGACUUUCUGGUCUGUAACUGACGCUGAUGUGCGAAAGCGUGGGGAUCAAACAGGAUUAGAUACCCUGGUAGUCCACGCCGUAAACGAUGAGUGCUAAGUGUUAGGGGGUUUCCGCCCCUUAGUGCUGCAGCUAACGCAUUAAGCACUCC
rnacentral:rRNA from 1 species